CACAUGCAAGUCGAGGGGAAACGACAUCGAAAGCUUGCUUUUGAUGGGCGUCGACCGGCGCACGGGUGAGUAACGCGUAUCCAACCUGCCCAUCACUUGGGGAUAACCUUGCGAAAGUAAGACUAAUACCCAAUGAUAUCUCUAGAAGACAUCUGAAAGAGAUCAAAGAUUUAUCGGUGAUGGAUGGGGAUGCGUCUGAUUAGCUUGUUGGCGGGGUAACGGCCCACCAAGGCGACGAUCAGUAGGGGUUCUGAGAGGAAGGUCCCCCACAUUGGAACUGAGACACGGUCCAAACUCCUACGGGAGGCAGCAGUGAGGAAUAUUGGUCAAUGGGCGAGAGCCUGAACCAGCCAAGUAGCGUGCAGGAUGACGGCCCUAUGGGUUGUAAACUGCUUUUAUAAGGGAAUAAAGUGAGUCUCGUGAGACUUUUUGCAUGUACCUUAUGAAUAAGGACCGGCUAAUUCCGUGCCAGCAGCCGCGGUAAUACGGAAGGUCCGGGCGUUAUCCGGAUUUAUUGGGUUUAAAGGGAGCGUAGGCCGGAGAUUAAGCGUGUUGUGAAAUGUAGACGCUCAACGUCUGCACUGCAGCGCGAACUGGUUUCCUUGAGUACGCACAAAGUGGGCGGAAUUCGUGGUGUAGCGGUGAAAUGCUUAGAUAUCACGAAGAACUCCGAUUGCGAAGGCAGCUCACUGGAGCGCAACUGACGCUGAAGCUCGAAAGUGCGGGUAUCGAACAGGAUUAGAUACCCUGGUAGUCCGCACGGUAAACGAUGGAUGCCCGCUGUUGGUCUGAAUAGGUCAGCGGCC
rnacentral:rRNA from 1 species